rnacentral:rRNA from 1 species
GAUGAACGCUGGCGGCGUGCCUAAUACAUGCAAGUCGAGCGAACAGACGAGGAGCUUGCUCCUCUGACGUUAGCGGCGGACGGGUGAGUAACACGUGGAUAACCUACCUAUAAGACUGGGAUAACUUCGGGAAACCGGAGCUAAUACCGGAUAACAUGUUGAACCGCAUGGUUCAACAGUGAAAGACGGUCUUGCUGUCACUUAUAGAUGGAUCCGCGCCGCAUUAGCUAGUUGUUAAGUUAACGGCUUACCAAGGCAACGAUGCGUAGCCGACCUGAGAGGGUGAUCGGCCACACUGGAACUGAGACACGGUCCAGACUCCUACGGGAGGCAGCAGUAGGGAAUCUUCCGCAAUGGGCGAAAGCCUGACGGAGCAACGCCGCGUGAGUGAAGAAGGUCUUCGGAUCGUAAAACUCUGUUAUUAGGGAAGAACAAAUGUGUAAGUAACUAUGCACGUCUUGACGGUACCUAAUCAGAAAGCCACGGCUAACUACGUG